rnacentral:sRNA from 1 species
CCAUGGAUCCGCUGUCGCCGCCGCUCUGCACGCUGCCGCCGGGCCCCGAGCCGCCCCGCUUCGUGUGCUACUGCGAAGGGGAGGAAAGCGGGGAGGGGGACCGCGGCGGCUUCAACCUCUAGUGAGUGGGGGUCCGCGGGGAGGUAGGGGUGCAGGGAGCUCCGCGGGCGGCCCCGCCUGACAGGCCUUCUCCCCCAGCGUGACCGACGCCGCGGAGCUUUGGAGCACCUGCUUCACACCGGACAGCCUGGCGGCCCUCGUGGGUAACUGGGCGGGUCUGGGAGCCGCCACACCCCUCCUUGCAGUGCAGAUCGUCUAUGGGGUGACAGACAUCUGGGAUUCCCCAGAAGGCUCUGACACCCUCUGCCCGCCCUGUAGCUGUAGUCCUCACAUUGGCUAGGGCUCUGGGGUCGGGCAGGUUUCGGGUGCUCCCAGUGGGCCUCGGGUUCCAGGCAGCUGGUGACAAGCCCCUGUGCUCUCUAGAAAGCCCGUUUUGGCCUGAGUGCGGCUGAGGACAUCACCCCCCGGUUCAGGUGAGACCCAAGCAGGGAGGAAGGACGGGUGGGGAGGAGGAGGGUCUGCCACAGCUCUCCGCACCUCUCCUCUCCCAGGGCAGCCUGUGAGCAGCAAGCUGUGGCUCUGACUCUGCAGGAGGACAGAGCAUCCCUGACGCUUUCAGGGGGGCCCUCGGCACUGGCCUUUGACCUCUCCAAGGUACCAGGCCCAGAGGCAGCCCCCAGGCUGCAGGCGCUGACACUGGGCCUGGCAAAACGCGUGUGGAGCCUGGAGCGGCGACUGGCAGCUGCAGAAGAGACAGCUGUCAGCCCGAGGAAGAGCCCCGGGCCUGCAGGGCCUCAGCUCUUCUUACCAGG